GACGAACGCUGGCGGCGUGCCUAAUACAUGCAAGUUGAGCGGUGAAGGAUGGUACUUGUGCCAACUGGGUGAGCAGCGAACGGGUGAGUAACGCGUGGGGAAUCUGCUUUUGAGCGGGGGACAACAUUGGGAAACGAAUGCUAAUACCGCAUAAAAACUUUAAACACAAGGUUUAAGUUUGAAAGAGGCAAUUGCAUCACUCAAAGAUGAUCCCGCGUUUUAUUAGUUAGGUGGUGAGGUAAAGGCUCACCAAGGCGAUGAUACAUAGUCGAACUGCGAGGGGGGUAGGCCAAACUGGGAAUGAGACCAGGCACAAAAUCCUACGGGAGGCAGCAGUAGGGGAUCUUCGGAAAUGGACGGAAGUCUGACCGCGCAACGCCGCGGGAGUGAAGAAGGUUUUCGGAUCGUAAAACUCUGUUGGUAGGGAAGAAAGUUGGUGAGAGUGGAAAGCUCAUCAAGUGACGGUAACUACCCAGAAAGGAACGGCUAACUACGUG
rnacentral:rRNA from 1 species